GGUGGUUAUGUGGUCAUGGAGGAUUAAGAGUUUGAGUGUGGCUGAUUCACGCAGCCAAGUUGCUACGACCGAACCGCUUGAUGUGAAGCGUCCCAUGUUGCAUUUUGAGAGGUGGAACGGUGCGUCCAUUCCCCUCAAAAGCGCUUCAACGGCUGGCCUUAGUGCUCCGUCUCCAACCACUUUGCUAUGUUUUCCCCAACCAGUCAAUAUGCUGCCACAAAAGGUUAACCAAAACAUUUCACAAGGUUUCAAGGAACCCGAAUUUUGAAAACAAGACCAAACCGCAUAAAUCAGUAUCUCCAAAGUCACUGUAAUCAGCAAUGACUUUGGUUUCUAGGCCCGGUUUAGGUUGGGAAGUUAUACCAAAGAGCUCUUUGUAGCUUACCUCAUGAGUUUAGGUAACUCAUGACCUUCAUAGACAAUGGAGCGUAUGUUUAGCAACCAAGCAUGAACCAUUGCGCGUGCAGCACCAGAAGACAUAAGAUGCAAGUCCAAGCACGUAGUAGACCACACAUUCUCCCAAACUUGUCUAGAUCUUACCUCAAGUGCCACCAGUUGUGCACCUCGUUUCUAUAAACAAAAAAUGGAUUCCAAAAGUAAGCCGCGUAAAGAAUCAGAUUCCAAAGAUUUUGCCUUCUAUAAUAUCAGUGUGAUUUUACCUGACCAAAGUGCCAGAGCAUGUCGGUAAGAGCAUUGUAGAAGGCAGAUACAGUUGAACCAUCCAUUUCCUUGACUUUGUUAAAUAAGGUCUGAGCUUGGAGCCACACGACCUCUCUAUGUCCCAUGAGAAGUCCAUGAACUACACCAUAUAACUGAUUAUCAAACAGCCUGAGCUCCUUUAGCAGCAUUGAUGCAUCUUCAAAUGAGUUGCACCGACUACAUUGAAUACACACAUGUCAACAAAAUAAGGAUCCUCACCAAAAUGCAACCAAUCUAUGAGAACACUAACAAUUGGGCCAUAUCUUUCACUUUCAAAACUCAAGAAGAGGGACAAACCUGCAAGCGUUCAGAAUCGCUGAAAAGGUUACAACAUUUGGUUUUAUUUCCAGCUGAUGCAUUUUGCGGAUAACUUCCAGUAUACAGGAGAUCUCAUGCAUACCCACCUUACAAUCUUUCUUCAUCCUGUUCGUAUUCUCAGUGGUUAACUGCCCAAAUAUCUGUAUUACCCGAUUAUCUUCUGUUCUACUCAAUUUACUUGAAGAAGGAGGAAAAGAGGAAGUUCCAACUUCCAAGUUACUAGCUCCACCAUCUCUAGAUUCAGCUAACGACUCCAUAGUUGCAGAACGACCAAAGGCGUCGAUUAUUGAAUUGUAAGUUACAACGUUAGGCCUAAUUCCUUCCUUUGUCAUCUCAUCGAUCAAAGAAACAGCAGAACCCACCAACCCGUUCUUGCACAAAGCAUCAAUCAAUGCACUGUACAACACAACAUCAGCUCUUAAACCAACGCUUUUAAACUCCCUAAAUAUCUCCAUAGCCUCUUUGUACAAACCCCCUUUGGAGUACACAUCGAUCAAUGUUGAAUAAGUCAGUAAAUUAGGCAGGACAUGCUCUUUUUUCAUCUCAGCGAAAACGUUCUUCACUUCAACAUAUUUCCCUUGUUUCCCAUACCCUCCAAGAAGAGCAUUAUAAGUCACAACAUCCUUCUUAAUCCCAACCGAUGCCAUUUCUCUAAAAACAUCCAAAGCUUCUUCAGAUCUGCCAACUUUAGUAUAAAUAGAAACCAAUGUGUUGUAAGAAACUCUAUCCAACGCAAUACCGAGAUACCUCAUCUCAUCAAACAAGCUAAGAGCUUCAUCGAAUCUCCCGGCCUUUGCAAACCCAUCAAUGACAGUGCUAUAACUUACAACAUUAGGCAUGAUUCUCUUUGCCGGCAUCUGAGAAAGGAUAUCAAAAGCAAGAUCCAUCUAAACUCCUUUGCAUAUUGCAUCCAAAAGCGUAUUGUAAGAAAACACAUCUAACUCAAUCCUUCUGUUCAACAUCUCAUCAAAAAGAUUCCUUGCUGCUUCCCAUAACCCCCUCCUCUACUACAAACAGCAAGCAAAGAGUUGAAAGUUAUUCUAUCAGGCUGCACACCGUUCCUCUGCAUCUCAUCGAAAAACUCAGCCACUCGCUUAAACUCCAUCCCUCCUUUACCGCACGCGUCAAUCACAGCAUUGUAGGUAACCAAAUUCGGCCUCAAGCCAUAGCUUUUCAUGGAGUUGAAGACACUAAUGGCUUCUUCAUGGAGACCACUUCUCCCAUAAGCGCUGAUGAGAGCAGAGAAGGCGUAAACCGUGUUUCCAUACCCACAAGCCAAAGCAGUUUCGAAAACACUCUUAGCAAUGUCUACUUUGCCUAAUCUACCAAGUGUACUAAUCAUGGCACUAGCUAAUUUCCCUUGCUCGUUAUUCCUCCUCUCUCGUUUAACUGCAAACUCGUAAAAGCCAAGUGCUUUAUCACACUCACCUCGAUUCCCUAACUCACGGAUUAUAAAAGUGUAGUCGUCAGAGCCACGAAGCUUAGACUCGAAGCUCAACAUUAGACUCUGAAACAUCUCAUCGUCUCCUGAGAAAUCGAUAGCACUCUGGAGAACAUCUUCCGCAGCAGAGCUGUGUCGAGUGGCCAUUGUAGUCUUAGGUCGCCCGAAAUGCUUCUUGGAGACGAACCGGGUCGAUCGACGACCCGAGAAGUCCGAGGAGAGACCCGAUUCCGGAGUUUGCAGAGGAGGAAAAGCAGGAAACAGAGAUAGUCGACCGGAAGAAACAGUGGCGACGGAAACGGCGGGAGAUGAAGACGGAGGAGCUGAGGUAACGGCGGGACCGCCACGAGGAGAGGAAGAGACACGCUGCGGAAGCCAUGGACGAAUGUUGUAGUUGGGUUUUUGACGGGUCUGACGAUGGUUGUUGGUGGUGAAAACCGACCAGUGAGGCGGCGUUGACGCCAUUGUUGAAAAGAAAGAUUUUUGGUGCUUCCACGGAAAAAAAGAGCUCGUUUUGCCUUUUAUGAAGGGUUUUUCGAUAUUGAGUGAGAGAGAGAGAGAGAGAAGAGUAACAGAUCGUUGACUUGGACUCUCUCCUUAAUAGCUUCCAGGAAUUUGAUUACUUCACCAAAGUCAGUCACUCAUGCUCUAUUUUCGUUAUCUUCUUUAUAAUGAUCUCAUAUUAUAUUGUUUCCACUUUUUUUCAAUAUUUUGUUUAGCUUUCCCUUUUCUAAAGAUUCCAUUUUUAUGAAGCGAUAUAUCAAAUUUUUGGAAAAGAGAUCUGAAGAAAUGAUACGCUCCUGGUCCUAUAAAUGAAAUGCGACCAACGCUCUCACCAAAUUUGAUAAGAACACACCCCUACCUAGAGUCUCUAGACGAGUAGAAGAUUUGGACGUGUCAAAGAGUCAUUGUCCCACCUAAUAUAGCAUAAAGUAUCGUUGAAACAAUCUAAGAGCAUCACUAAUGCUGAUACCCAGUUUGGAUCUCUUAUCAAUUUUUAAUUUCGUUUAACAUUUAUUUUUUAGUUGGGGAGGACUCCAUGUUUUAUACCCCUCCAACCCUGAUACCCAAUUUAAGGGUUGUUUUGAUUAAAAUAUUAAUAUUUCGAUUAUUUUUUUAAUAUUUUUAAAAAUACAAAAAUAAAAUUACAUAAAUACAUGACAUAAAAUGUGAUUAAUAUAGGAAUACAAAUGAUAUAUUGAAAUACAACUUUUUAAAAUUUUUAAAAACAUACAAACUUAAUUUCAAAGAGUGGUUCCUCCAAAUUUAUGCCAAAUAUGUUCUACUAAAUCUUCCUUUAAUUGAUCGUGAAUUUCGAUAUCUCGAACUUGAAUCCGAUUACCGAUCAAAUUGCCCAUAUUCGAUGCCGUUUCUGUUGAGUAACUCAUAUCGACAUAUGAAGUUCUGCUUCCUUCACCUUGUACGAAUUCAGAUAUAUUAAGUUGAGUGUUGGUAGGUCGUUCGUCUUCGAUUAUCAUAUUGUGUAAUAUGAUACAUAUUCUCAUAAUCUUCCCUAUCUUCUCUUUAUCCCACAUUAAGGCGGGAUUUUUGACAAUAGCAAACCGGGCUUGCAAGACUCCGAAAGCUCUUUCGACAUCUUUCCGUACAGAUUCUUGGCAUUGAGCAAAUAAUGUAUCUUUUUCACUUUGGGGAAAAGGAAUAGACUUGACAAAUGUUGCCCAUUUUGGAUAUAUACCGUCUGUUAGGUAAUAUGGUAGACGAUAGUUGUGACCGUUGACAGAGUACUUUACUUUCGGAGCUUUACCAUGUAAGAUGUCAUAAAAAACAGGUGGUCGUAUCCGGCACUCUCUCAACCCUUCCCAUGUCGCGUCUUUGAUUCGAAAUCCUUCUCUCCAGGAUGCCAAGUUGCUCCGUGACUGCCUCGUCCCAGAACUUGAAGAUAUGCUCCCCAGUUCCAUACUUAAGACAUUGAAAAUUGAUGGUUAAAAUCACGUUCAACAAUUUUGAAAAAUAAAAUAUAAUGACUUUUCACUCUUACCUCUUAUAACCACGCAGGACAGCUGUAGUAUUGCCGACCUGGAGUCCUAACCGCCUCAGCAGACAUGCCUUGUAGCUCGAUAAGUCGACCACAUAUGCACUUCUCCGGGAUGCCGAACUUGGCUUCUUCUAACAUCCAACUGUAGUCCUCAAUGUAUUCCUCAUCAGAAGAUGGCUCACUGUAGCUAAUGGGCAUCCUGAAAACAGAUUCAUAGUGAUCAACAUAUGCAAACCGUUUGAAGGAAACAUAGUGAUCAACUAAUCGAUUUCAAAUAACAUAGAAAGAAGAACGAAUUAUCGCCGAUUCAACCACCCAUACAAUACUACUGAACCGAUUAAACCCAAAUUUCAAGUAAUUCGACGAACCCUAGAAUUUCCCCCAAAUUGAUUCAAACCCUAAUUUCGAUUUUAAAAACGAUAAAACCCACGAAACGAUUGUUAACGAGGUCGGGAAUCUUUACCUUGCUCGUCGCGACGUUCCGAUGAAUCAGCUUCGUCGUCUCACCAGUCCAAAUCGCCGGUAAACCGAUUCGUCGGUGACAGAAAAAUACUCAGGGAAAACCACUCGUUUUCUUUCUCGAAAACAAAAUGAGACGGACAAAAAAAUAAUGAAAAUACGCACCAUUUUCCUUUCCAUUCCAGCCACUCACCUUCCGCCACGUCAUCAACGAUACUGGUUUGAGAUGGGCUCUUCGGUCUCAUCUGAAGAGACGGUACGUCCAAAUAAUUCGGCUCAAAGUGUUUUUUAAUUGCAUUCUAGCCCUUCGGGCCCACUGACGUACCGUGGAUGAUAUCGCGUUAGGCCCACUGACGUACCGCGGAUGAUACCGCGUUGGAGAUGGCCUAAUACUCUGAUAUAUUUGUCUAAUUUUUGUUGUAAAUAUUAAAAAGUUGUGUGGUGGGGUUCUAUAGUCGUUGGAAUUUCAAAAGAUUGAAACUUUGGAGAGGAGACAUAUGAAAGCUGUUCUGAUAUAAUUUUUUUUUUCAAAUUAUAUUAUAAAAAUAUAUCCUCCCAUUUUUACAAAUCCUUGAGUUAAUAUCUUGUUACAAAAUAUUAGCAGAGAGCACAAAAUCCUACCAUUGUUUACAACACAGACUUGGUAAUCAGAAAUUGUUAACAUCAGUGUACAGCUACAAAAGAAGGGGUUCCAAAGUGAGAGAGGUUUGGUCUGUUGAUCUCAUUGUAGUGUUAGCUUUGGUAGUUAUGUGGUCAUGGAGGAUUAAGAGUUUGAGUGUGGCUGAUUCACGCAGCCAAGUUGCUACGACCGAACCGCUUGAUGUGAACCGUCCCAUGUUGCAUUUUGAGAGGUGGAACGGUGCGUUCAUUCCCCUCAAAAGCGCUUCAAUCGCUGGCCUUAGUGCUCCAUCUCCAACCACUUUGCUAUGUUUCCCCCAACCAGUCAAUAUGCUGCCAUUAAAAAAGAAACGUUAACACAACCCUAUCAAACUGCUUGUUAGUUAUCACAAGAAAACCUAGCAUCGAAUUUGGGAAUACAUGAUAUAUAUUAGAUUUUGAAAAAGAUGAGGUCAAAUCUUGUGCUAAGUUUUAGGAAGAAGAAGUCAGACGAAAGGUGUAGCUAUAAUAUUGGUGUUUAACCCAAAGAGUUUUUUGUAGCUUACCUCAAGAGUUUCGGUAACUCAUGACCUUCAUAAACAAUGGAGCGUAUGUUUAGCAACCAAGCAUGGACCAUUGCGCGUGCAGC
rnacentral:lncRNA from 1 species